UAUAUAUAUAUAGUCCGGCUGCUAUGCUAUCGAUAGUACAAAGUACUUGGUGCUAUCAAGUUUUUUGCCGUUAGAUUAAUCCCUUUGAUUAUUUUUACCCGUUAGAUUAUACUAUUCAACCAAUCACCCACUCAACCCUAGGGAGCCCACAUCAUCCUAACUGCACAUCUUUUAAUCCAAGGGUAAAAAAACUUAAUAUCACAAAGUCAUUGGUGCUAUUAAUAAUAUUCCAGCUUAGUUCUCUCUCUCUCUCUCUAUCUAUCUCUCUUUCUCUCUCUCUCUCUCUCUAUAUAUAUAUAGAGAGAGAGAGAGAGAGUCGGGCCGGAAUACUAUUAAUAACAAAAGGUCUUUUUUGCUAUCAAGUUUUUAACCUUUCGAUAAAAAAUUGUAGAGUUAGCAUGAUAUUAGUCCCUUAGGGUUGAGUGGUCCCCUUAGGAUUGAGUGGUCUCCACUGUGUUAUAAUAUUUAAUCCAAUGGUUAGAAAUGAUGAAAAGUUAAAAACUUGAUAACAAAAAGGGCCUUAUAAUAUUUGACAUGUUCUCUGUCAAAUCCCUAUAUAAUUUAUUACAAAACGGUGGUAUACGUGUCAAGUACUUUAACCAAUUACAAAACGGUGGUAUACGUGUCAAGCACUUUAACCAACUUUGGAGGAGUCGCUCACCUCUAAAAGUGAAGAUUUGCGUGUGGCUAGCAUUGAAAAGAAAAGUACCCACAGUAGACAACCUCUUGAGAAAGGGUGGAGCGGUGAAGAAAGUUGUGUCUUUUGCUUGACAUCGAGGAAGACAACGGAUCACUUAUUCGCAAGCUACCAAAGUACUAAAGCCCUGCUGGCGACUUUGCUCCCAAACAAACAAUACCUCCCUAAUUGUUUGUCUAUCUGUCAGCUAUGGGACGAAAGCAAACUUAAAGGUGGUGCGCUAGGAAAGAAGGAGGUGGCCACGGUUAUCACCAAGUGGUGGGUUGUUUGGCUGAAAAGAAAUUGUCGUAUUUUCAAGGAAGUGAGACAUUCACCGUGUUUCUUGUUAAACAAGAUCCGAUCGCUCAUAGAACAUUGGGAUCAGAUCUGUGUUAACUAAUUACGACCCGAUCACUCUGAGAGCAAUACUUUUUUUUUUUGGUCGAUUUAGGAGACCUGGUUGUCUCAUUAUGCAGCUGAGUUCACUUUCUAAAUGAAUGAAGCAAUAACAUACUAUCUUUUUUAAAAAAAAAAAAACUUUUUGAUAUCAAUAGUAUUCUAGCUCAAUUGUAGAUGUACAAAUAUAUAUAUAUAUAUAUAUUAAAAGCAUGCGUGG
rnacentral:lncRNA from 1 species